UGGAGUUAUGGCCACCUUCUGGUCCCCGCUAGAUGACGUCACGGCUCGUUAGUGAACGAUGGAACACCAUUUUUGGGCGCAAAAAGCUAGUUAUUUAGCACACACAAGCUAUUGGGAACGUGAUAACAAGAGUACAGCGAUACUGUAAGGACGUUUCGACACGAGUAGUCACGUAAGACUUUGUUAAAAAUUAGAUUAUUUUACUCACACAGAUGGUCAGCGCUCCGGCCCCCAUUUUAAAGAGUCAGUCCGGCUUUUGUCAUUUCCCUGCCUUCGGAGACGGAGGAAAGAGCAUAAACAAAAAGGAGCGGCGGGGUUGAUUGUCUUCACCGAUCGGCCAGCUCCCAGCAGUGAGCAAGUUUCAGCUUGUCAUUCCCCUACUGCGGGCAGGAGUGCUUGUUGCCGGGAACGCAGCUGGAAAAUGACCGCCAGACAAACCGCCCGACGUCGGAGCAGGGGUCUGCUCGUGGCCAAGCCGAGGAAAGCGCAUUCUCGGCAGGCACGUGAAUAGGACCAAGCGGGCUGGAUCGGCCAACCAAACUGGCCGACGUUGGAGCAGGUGUCUGCUCGUGGCCAAGCCAAGGAAAGCGCAUUCUCGGCGUGCACGCCUUUAUCGGCUGGCGACCAUGGUGUGCAGCCAGCCGCCGGUGGUAAGCCGUGUGGCAUUCUGGGUGGACAGGGAGUAUUUUCACCCACAAAAUGCAAGCCACCUCCUUAUUAAAACGUGUGCCAUGAUCCCAGUAUUUGACAUAAUAUAAAACACGUAGCUUACUCACCUCACAAUGGUCCCACAGUUCUCUGACUUGUUUUGGCCAUUAUCCGCAGUGAACGGGAACUUUUUGAAACCCAAAAAGGCUCACACAACUCUCCCUGGUGCAGCAACAAAAGCCUGCAGCACAUUGGGCCGGUGUAAUGCGAAAAAUAAAUAAUUUGCAAAAUCAGUUUAAUCCACAGUUGUUCUGCAUACUGUAGCAUUGGCUGUAUACUGAAGAUAAUUAUCACGCUGACGUCAUAUUCGCAUUCUUUGUCAAUCCAGGAAGUCACUCAUUUUCAUGGCACGGGAUAUAAAUAAUUGAAUAAAUAUAUCGAUCACUUCCACACACAUCCAAGUGGUCUAUUUCAUUCAGGAGCAUAAAAUACCGUGUGAAA